rnacentral:rRNA from 1 species
GACGAACGCUGGCGGCGUGCUAAACACAUGCAAGUCGAACGGAAAGGCCCUGCUUUUGUGGGGUGCUCGAGUGGCGAACGGGUGAGUAACACGUGAGUAACCUGCCCUUGACUUUGGGAUAACUUCAGGAAACUGGGGCUAAUACCGGAUAGGAGCUCCUGCUGCAUGGUGGGGGUUGGAAAGUUUCGGCGGUUGGGGAUGGACUCGCGGCUUAUCAGCUUGAUGGUGGGGUAGUGGCUUACCAAGGCUUUGACGGGUAGCCGGCCUGAGAGGGUGACCGGCCACAUUGGGACUGAGAUACGGCCCAGACUCCUACGGGAGGCAGCAGUGGGGAAUAUUGCACAAUGGGCGGAAGCCUGAUGCAGCAACGCCGCGUGCGGGAUGACGGCCUUCGGGUUGUAAACCGCUUUCGCCUGUGACGAAGCGUGAGUGACGGUAAUGGGUAAAGAAGCACCGGCUAACUACGUG